rnacentral:rRNA from 1 species
GAUGAACGCUGGCGGCGUGCCUAAUACAUGCAAGUAGAACGCUGAAGGAAGGAGCUUGCUCUUUCCGGAUGAGUUGCGAACGGGUGAGUAACGCGUAGGUAACCUGCCUGGUAGCGGGGGAUAACUAUUGGAAACGAUAGCUAAUACCGCAUAACAGUAGAUAUUGCAUGAUAUCUGCUUGAAAGGGGCAAUUGCUCCACUACCAGAUGGACCUGCGUUGUAUUAGCUAGUUGGUGAGGUAACGGCCCACCAAGGCGACGAUACAUAGCCGACCUGAGAGGGUGAUCGGCCACACUGGGACUGAGACACGGCCCAGACUCCUACGGGAGGCAGCAGUAGGGAAUCUUCGGCAAUGGACGGAAGUCUGACCGAGCAACGCCGCGUGAGUGAAGAAGGUUUUCGGAUCGUAAAGCUCUGUUGUAAGAGAAGAACGAGUGUGAGAGUGGAAAGUUCACACUGUGACGGUAUCUAACCAGAAAGGGACGGCUAACUACGUG